rnacentral:lncRNA from 1 species
AAAAACAUAAAACAAACAAACAAACAAGGUGGCUUUCCUUGGUCUUUGUGAUUCCAGCUCUUCACCAGUGAAGGAAUUCUUUAGUUCCAUAGUGCAGCCUGGGUGGGUGGAGAAGAGGCUGUUAUAGUGGGAGCCAGUGAGCAAAGAGGGUUGGAGGAGGCAGAGGACAGGGCUCAGGGAAGGCAAGCCUGUGGCUCUGGGCAUUGGCCCUCUUGUCAAAGGUGUCAGAGCAUGGCUUCCUGUGAGGGGCUUUCCCUUGCUCCUGUGUGAGAAUCUGUGCGUUGUCUUACUGGAUGGGGGACCUGGAUGGAGAUGUUAGGGGAGAUAGCUUAGUCUUGUUCUAAACUCUAGACUUGCUAAAAAGGGUUCUCUUGAGUCCAAAUGCAGUGCCAGAGGGUGAGAAGCAGAAUUGGCCAGUAGUGAACAGUGGUAUUGUGGGUGAUAAGCCCUUUCUGGUGGCCUUAAAUAGCAGUGCUAGUCCUUGAGUGCCACAGGGUCCCCUACCUCCGUCCUGGCAGUGCUGAUGGGUUUGUUUCAGCAUAUUUUGGUUCUCAUUCUCAUUUAGGGAAAAGGGCUGUUGAUGAAGGGAUUAUCCUCCCAGGCACCAGGGGCCUCAGCACAGUUCCCUGUGCUUUUAAACACUGUUGACUUUCAUUAGUUAUUCUAAAGGGAUUUAUAUUGGAGAUACAACUCCCUUUGGUUUCAUAUUAUGAAAUAGCUUUGUACUGUGGAAUGCUAACUCUGGAAAGUCUCCCUCAUACCAGAACCAAACAUUCAUUUCUUUUAUAUAUAUAUAUAUAUUAUCUCCCUGGUACUCUCCAGGGAGGUGGUUAUUAUCAAGCUGACCCAAAGGAGUGCAGUAUGUGUUCUAGUUCCUUUUCUGGUACCUUGUUCAACAUUCUUUUUUCCUGAAGAACAUCCUUUUGUUUAUGAAAACGUGAAUAGCAUCAUGUAAAACAAUCCCUUGCUAUCAGAAUGCUCCAGUUUGGCCUUAAUUUUGUAAACCUUGGAGAGGAGUGGAGCGCGGCUGUGAGAAGAGAUGUACCAUGUACUCUUUCUGUAUCAUUAAAGUGCAGUUUUUAUGCUUC